GUCCACGUAGCACAGCUGGAUAAUGCAACUGCCUCCUAAGCAGUAGAUCGGGUGUUCGAAUCACCUCGUGGACGCCA
rnacentral:tRNA from 1 species